rnacentral:rRNA from 1 species
GAUGAACGCUGGCGGCGUGCCUAAUACAUGCAAGUCGAACGCUUCGAUUUAUCGAAGAGUGGCGAACGGGUGAGUAAUACAUAAGUAACCUGCCCUUAACAGGGGGAUAACUACUAGAAAUGGUAGCUAAGACCGCAUAGGUGGAUUGAUCGCAUGAUCGAUUCAUUAAAAGACCUUUCAAGGUCUGGAUAAGGAUGGACUUAUGUCGCAUUAGCUAGUUGGUAAGGUAACGGCUUACCAAGGCGACGAUGCGUAGCCGGCCUGAGGGGGUGAACGGCCACAUUGGGACUGAGACACGGCCCAAACUCCUACGGGAGGCAGCAGUAGGGAAUUUUCGGCAAUGGGGGAAACCCUGACCGAGCAACGCCGCGUGAAGGAAGAAGGAAUUCGUUUCGUAAACUUCUGUUAUAAAGGAAGAAAGAUGAUAUCAGGAAAUGGAUGUCAAGUGACGGUACUUUAUGAGAAAGCCACGGCUAACUACGUGCCAGCAGCCGCGGUAAUACGUAGGUGGCAAGCGUUAUCCGGAAUUAUUGGGCGUAAAGAGGGAGCAGGCGGUAACAAAGGUCUGUGGUGAAAGCCUGAAGCUUAACUUCAGUAAGCCAUAGGAACCAGGUAACUAGAGUGCAAGAGAGGAUCGUGGAAUUCCAUGUGUAGCGGUGAAAUGCGUAGAUAUAUGGAGGAACACCAGUGGCGAAGGCGACGAUCUGGCUUGUAACUGACGCUGAGUCCCGAAAGCGUGGGGAGCAAAUA